UACGUAGGGGGCAAGCGUUGUCCGGAUUUACUGGGCGUAAAGAGCGUGUAGGCGGCCACGCAGGUCCGUUGUGAAAACUGGAGGCUCAACCUCCAGCUGUCGACGGAAACCGUAUGGCUAGAGUCCGGAAGAGGAGAGUGGAAUUCCUGGUGUAGCGGUGAAAUGCGCAGAUAUCAGGAAGAACACCAAUGGCGAAGGCAGCUCUCUGGGAACGGUACUGACGCUGAGACGCGAAAGCGUGGGGAGCGAACAGG
rnacentral:rRNA from 1 species